ACAAGCGCAGCAGGUGCCAAGAAAAAAGAAGAUUCGGACAAAAACAAAUCCUCUUUGAGCUGACCUGCUUAUAAAUCGUCCGUUGUACCCAUCGUCCGCGGUUUCUGCGUUGUUCACGUUUUCUGGCUAUUUACGGUUCCAUUUCCAAAAAGGAAUGACGAAGACGAAUAGCAGGUAAGAAGGAAGAACAAACAAAACAAUUUAUCGACUCACGCAAUAUUCCAUUGCCGUACUUGAACUCGAGACUUGCAUACGUGAUUUCGGUUUCGCCUUAAUGCCUCAUUAUUUAUUCUGGCAUGUUAUUUUUUGUACUGUCAUUUUACGUAGUUACGAGAGAAAAUAUUGAAAUAUUCAAUUUUGUGGUGAUUUAACUCGUAAUUUAGCAACCUUGCGUACGUUCCCGCCAUUUGAAAACGAAUUAAUCGUCUGUCCCAAGCAGACACGUGUAAAAUGUUGAUGUGUAUUCGACGAUGUUCGACAAACGACAAAUCUUUGUCAUGUCUUUGUGACAAAGCUGACAAAGCAAAUUCAACAAGAAAAUUGAAAAAAAGCUCUGCAAAAUGCAGAUGCAACUUUACUAUGUCGAAUUUGGGAAGAAGAAUAAUGGCGUUUGGAGGAUUGGGACGAGAUGUUGGAUUCUGUAGCAGCACUAACAAAACGUGACAAGUCUAACAACUAUCUCAGUAUCCGGUUUUGGAUGGAGCUCAGCAGCUGUUUUUUAGUUUUUCGUUUGUUAUCCAAGCGCCGCGAUUCAUUUUUGCGCAUUUUGCUGACUUGGAACGAUUGCCCAGACAUUCAACAAACUGGCGAGACUCCAGCAUUCAAGCCAUAUCACAGUAGACAUAGAUGGGGCUAUCGCCAAUUCCUUGGCCAUCAGGAUCGAUCCAGUACAUUCCGGAGCUGAGUGUUGGAUCACCGGACUGAGCCUCUCUGCAUGUUCUUGGGAUGGCGGCGUGUACGGGGCUUACAGACGCCGAACUGGAACAGGUUUUUCGUUCGUUCUACAUUUCUUCCAGAACACGUUCCAGCCUAGCGAAUUUUUCCGCCAACAUUUCCUGUUGAGAAAAAUUUCAAAAGAUAGCAGUUGCAGUUGUUCUUCCACCUUUAAAGCAGCUGCAUCAGCUGGACAAGCCAAUGCUAACAAUGCUGCCAAUGCUGCGUGGA